UGAGUACAAGAUGCUACGGCAUUGAAGCAGUCUAUGUCAUACUUCCAAGAAAAGCUUGCAAUGUCAUAAACAAAUAAUGCCUGUACCAUAACCGACACAGGUGGGUAGGUAGAGUAUACUAAGGGGCGCGAGAUAACUCUCUCUAAGGAACUCGGCAAAAUGACUCCGUAACUUCGGGAGAAGGAGUACCUUAUUUUAUAAGGUUGCAAUAACAAGGUCCAAGCAACUGUUUACCAAAAACACAGGUCUCCGCUAAGUCGUAAGACGAUGUAUGGGGGCUGACGCCUGCCCAGUGCCAGAAGGUUAAGGAAGUUGGUUAGCAUUAGCGAGGCUGAUAACUGAAGCCCUGGUGAACGGCGGCCGUAACAAUAACGGUCCUAAGGUAGCGAAAUUCCUUGUCGGGUAAGUUCCGACCCGCACGAAAGGCGUAAUGAUUUGGAUACUGUCUCGGAGAGGGGCUCGGUGAAAUAGACUUGUCUGUGAAGAUGCGGACUACCUGCACCUGGACAGAAAGACCCUAUGAAGCUUUACUGUAACUUGAGAUUGAAAUUGGACUUUAUUUGCGCAGUAUAGGUGGGAGACCUCGAAAGUAUUCUUGCGGGAAUAUUGGAGUCAUCAGUGAGAUACCACUCUUAUAAUGUUAGAUUUCUAACUUUGUAUCAUUAUCUGGUCAAAGAACAGUUUCAGGCGGGCAGUUUGACUGGGGCGGUCGCCUCCCAAAUGGUAACGGAGGCGCACAAAGGUUUCCUCUGAACGUGUAGAAAUCGUAUCUAGAGUGUAAAGGCAUAAGGAAGCUUGACUGUGAGACCUACAAGUCGAGCAGGGACGAAAGUCGGUCUUAGUGAUCUGACGGUGCUGAGUGGAAAGGCCGUCACUCAACGGAUAAAAGUUACUCUAGGAUAACAGGCUGAUCUCCCCCAAGAGUUCACAUCGACGGGGAGGUUUGGCACCUCGAUGUCGGCUCAUCGCAUCCUGGGGCGGUAGUACGUCCCAAGGGUUGGGCUGUUCGCCCAUGAAAGCGGUACGCGAGCUGGGUUCAGAACGUCGUGAGACAGUUCGGUCCAUAUCCGGUGUAGGCGUUAGAAUAUUGAGAGGAGCCUCCUUUAGUACGAGAGGACCGAGAAGGACAUACCUCUGGUGUACCAGUUAUCGUGCCAACGGUAAACGCUGGGUAGCUAUGUAUGGAGAGGAUAACCGCUGAAAGCAUCUAAGUGGGAAGCCCACCUCAAGAUAAGUAUUCUC
rnacentral:rRNA from 1 species